rnacentral:rRNA from 1 species
UACGGAGGAUGCGAGCGUUAUCCGGAUUUAUUGGGUUUAAAGGGUGCGCAGGCGGCGUGUCAAGUCAGCGGUAAAAUGUCGGGGCUCAACCCCGGCCGGCCGUUGAAACUGGCGUGCUCGAGUUGGAGAGAAGUAUGCGGAAUUCGUGGAGUAGCGGUGAAAUGCAUAGAUAUCACGAAGAACCCCGAUUGCGAAGGCAGCAUACCGGCUCCACACUGACGCUGAGGCACGAAAGCGUGGGUAUCGAACAGG